AGAGUUUGAUCAUGGCUCAGAACGAACGCUGGCGGCGUGGAUAAGACAUGCAAGUCGAACGGGACAACUUUGGUAGCAAUAUUAGAGUUUGUUCAGUGGCGCAAGGGUGCGUAACACGUGGGCAAUCUGCCGGGAAGUGGGGGAUAGCUCGCCGAAAGGCGAAUUAAUACCGCAUGUGGAUAGUGAAGGAUUCUUCGCGACUCCAAAGUCGGGGCAACCUGACGCUUCCUGAUGAGCCCGCGGCCUAUCAGCUAGUUGGUGAGGUAACGGCCCACCAAGGCUAUGACGGGUAGCUGGUCUGAGAGGACGACCAGCCACACUGGAACUGAGACACGGUCCAGACACCUACGGGUGGCAGCAGUCGAGAAUUUUUCUCAAUGGGGGAAACCCUGAAGGAGCGACGCCGCGUGAAGGAUGAAGGUCUUCGGAUUGUAAACUUCUGUCAUUAGAGAACAAGUGCCAUCGAGUAACUACCGGUGGCUUGAUAGUAUCUGAAGAGGAAGAGACGGCUAACUCUGUGCCAGCAGCCGCGGUAAUACAGAGGUCUCAAGCGUUGUUCGGAUUCAUUGGGCGUAAAGGGCGCGUAGGUGGCGAGGUAAGUUGGAUGUGAAAUCCCGGGGCUUAACCCCGGAACUGCAUUCAAUACUGCCUUGCUAGAGUACUGGAGAGGAGAUUGGAAUUUACGGUGUAGCAGUGAAAUGCGUAGAUAUCGUAAGGAAGACCAGUGGCGAAGGCGGAUCUCUGGACAGUUACUGACACUGAGGCACGAAGGCCAGGGGAGCAAACGGGAUUAGAUACCCCGGUAGUCC
rnacentral:rRNA from 1 species